UACGGAAGGCAGCAGUGGGGAAUAUUGCACAAUGGGCGCAAGCCUGAUGCAGCCAUGCCGCGUGUAUGAAAAAGGCCUUCGGGUUGUAAAGUACUUUCAGUCGUGAGGAAGGUGUUAAGGUUAAUAACCUUAGCAAUUGACGUUAGCGACAGAAGAAGCACCGGCUAACUCCGUGCCAGCAGCCGCGGUAAUACGGAGGGUGCGAGCGUUAAUCGGAAUUACUGGGCGUAAAGGGCACGCAGGCGGUUAAUUAAGUUGGAUGUGAAAUCCCCGGGCUUAACCUGGGAAUGGCAUUCAAGACUGGUUAGCUAGAGUCUUGUAGAGGGGGUAGAAUUCCGAUGUGUAGCGGUGAAAUGCGUAGAGAUGUGGAGGAAUACCGGUGGCGAAGGCGGCCCCUGGACAAAGGCUGACGCUCAUGUGCGAAAGCGUGGGGAGCAAACG
rnacentral:rRNA from 1 species